CGUAUUAUCUGACCCGCACUCCGGAACAGAAGAGGGCGGUAAUGCACCAAUAAGCUGGAUGCCACCCGCCGUUAAACUGGAAGGAAGAUGAAUAUGACAGCUUGCUGUGAGAGACAACGGGACAGAUGAGACACAUGUGUUUAUCUGCUGUAGAGUAACUGAUGAAGGAAUGCUAACAUCAAAGGAUUUGUAUCUUUUGUGGUGGAGCAGGACCUGCAAGGAAAGAUGAAAAAGAGGGAAAACCUGAAACAAAAGAAUAAUGUAAUGACUUUUUGUAUUGUGUAUGUGUAUUUUUGUAGGACAUGAAAAUGUCUGUAGACUGGUGUGUGCACUGAGGAUGGAGAAGACCACAGCAUCAUCCUGGAAAUGAUCGAGAGUCACAGAUGAGAUGCUCCCUCACUCCACCUGCCCUUUACUGUCUCAUCAGGACCAGAUGCUGCUCUGGUGUCUUCAUCCUCAGUGACCCCAGAGCCAGUGAGAGCAUCUAGAGAAAGACCACAAGACACUGAGCAUGUGAUUUUGGUAGUCGUGCUCAUGGGGUGCAGGCACAUGAAAGUUCGGAGCAGACACAGUGGUCAGAUUGUCCUGCACGUGUUCCCCUGCUCUCGCUUCAAGGUUGUGUGGUUCAGAGAGCCGUCAUCAUGGUCUUCCUCAUCCUGUUGCUCAACGACAUCCCUGUUGAGAAGAGUGAGAUUGUGAAGCAGAGCAGCAGAACUGUAUCAGCUGUGUUCAGAUGGCAGGAGGAUGUUCGGUUCACCAUCUGUAAAUACUUGAUUGUUAGAACAAUAAGUUUGAAUGAAGCUUUGUAUCAUGUGUUGUUGACUUGUGCAUGUAUGCAUUUAUUUUGAUGCUAACUUUUAUACAUUAUUUUAAUCAUUUAGACAUGUUUUUUUGUUCUCAGUAAAUAAAAUAUAAAUAUUUUAUCCAUUCAUGUAUUAAUUGCUUGACUGAAAAUGGAUGUAUUCACAUCGACUGCAUGUAUUUAACUAGUAUAUAUUCAUGUAUAGCUGUGUCACAAAAGAAAAUACAUUUGGCUUUUUUUACUAAAAUGUCAUUUUAAGAAAAA